AAACCGUGAUGUGGACAAAGUCUCAUCAUAUCCUUAUAUCUCUCCCAAGCCUCGAAAAAUGACUCGCCUUCUUUCUGUCUAAACUCGUCUACCUGGAUUUUUAGCAU